GUGUCAGCAGCCGCGGUAAUACAGAGACUGCAAGCGUUAUUCGGAUUCACUGGGCGUAAAGGGUGCGCAGGCGGUUGGGUGUGUCAGAUGUGAAAUCCCGAGGCUCAACCUCGGAACUGCGUCUGAAACUACUCGACUAGAGUACUGGAGAGGGUAACGGAAUUCACGGUGUAGCAGUGAAAUGCGUAGAUAUCGUGAGGAACACCAGAGGCGAAGGCGGUUACCUGGACAGUUACUGACGCUCAGGCACGAAAGCAUGGGGAGCAAAAGGGAUUAGAUACCCCUGUAGUCCAUGCCCUAAACGGUGCACACUAGGUCUUAGCGGAUUCGACCCCACUAGGGCCCAGGCUAACGCGUUAAGUGUGCCGCCUGAGGAGUACGGUCGCAAGACUGAA
rnacentral:rRNA from 1 species